AGCUGGACUACACUCCUCAGCCUCCCUUGAAGUUGCAGUGAACUUAUGAUGGUUUGUUCUAACCACCGUAAUUGCACAGAAUCAUCUGAGCACCUGACUCAGAGGUCAUGAAAUGCUUUCCUUCACCUGGAUGCAUGAAAAGUAGACAGGUACUGCUGACUCUGAACUGAAGAUCAAGCUGAUGGGCUCUGACUAUGGGAGGUUUCUUCAGCAGAAUAAAUUCACUGAUGCAAGUUUCAGGAGUUUGUCUGCAAGGGCAUUGGGCUAUCUGUUGAUGACCUGGGUAUGUCUGUAUGCAUUGGAGUAAGUGUGCAGUGACCAGAAAGAGCGUGCAUGGAAAAGUGAGUGUGUUUAUUCUGCCAAGGGAUGGUGCCAUUAACAAUCACCAAGGCAGCAAAGUAGGUUUGCAGCCAAUGGCUGCUGACGUUAGUCACCUUCUUAGCCUUCACAACCCACUAACUCAGGCAGCUGUCUUUCCAGUCCAUCCUAGCACACUCAGGGGUCACCUGUCUUGACACUACUCCUCACCAUGUUUCCACAUUCCCCACAAGGCAGGGAGCACACCUGCUCCCAUUGGGCACCCACAGGCAAUACCGUGUGCAGCAGCCCAUUAGAGUAUCAGUUUUCUGGCUAUUCUUUGGAGCUGCUGGAUCCAAUAUGUUUCCCCAUAUGCUUGAACCUUUUUGCAAUUCUUCCAUCUGUUUCUGGGAAAUGUGAAGGAAUUUAAUGAUCUUUUCUGGGGUUAUUAAACCGACAGCUGUUGUCAUUAAUAGAGGACAUUCUUUACUGCAGCGAAUAAAUGCUAGUCAUAACUCCAGCCUGUCUUAUGCACUCUCAUUAAUGACUACAGAGUUUGUCUCAAGACUGGGGUGAUG
rnacentral:lncRNA from 1 species